UCGACUAAGCCAUGCGAGUCGAAUGUAGCAAUACAUGGCGUACUGCUCAGUAACACGUGGAUAACCUACCCUUGAGAUGGGAAUAAACCCGGGAAACUGGGUAUAAUACCCAAUAGAUCUCGACUGCUGGAAUGCAUCGAGCUCCAAAGCUCCGGCGCUCAAGGAUGGAUCUGCGGCCUAUCAGGUAGUAGUGGGUGUAGCGUACCUACUAGCCUACGACGGGUACGGGUUGUGAGAGCAAGAGCCCGGAGAUGGAUUCUGUGACACGAAUCCAGGCCCUACGGGGUGCAGCAGGCGCGAAAACUUUACAAUGCUGGAAACAGCGAUAAGGGGACCUCGAGUGCCAGGUUACAAAUCUGGCUGUCGUGAUGCCUAAAAAGCAUUGCAUAGCAAGGGCCGGGCAAGACCGGUGCCAGCCGCCGCGGUAACACCGGCGGCUCGAGUGGUAACCGUUAUUAUUGGGUCUAAAGGGUCUGUAGCCGGCCGGAUAAGUCUCUUGGGAAAUCUGGCAGCUUAACUGUCAGGCUUUCAGGAGAUACUGUCUGGCUCGAGGCCGGGAGAGGUGAGAGGUACUUCAGGGGUAGGGGUGAAAUCUUGUAAUCCUUGAAGGACCACCAGUGGCGAAGGCGUCUCACCAGAACGGACCUGACGGCAAGGGACGAAAGCUAGGGGCACGAACCGGAUUAGAUACCCGGGUAGUCCUAGCCGUAAACGAUACUCGCUAGGUGUCGGCAACGGUGCGACCGUUGUCGGUGCCGUAGGGAAGCCGUGAAGCGAGCCACCUGGGAAGUACGGCCGCAAGGCUGAAACUUAAAGGAAUUGGCGGGGGAGCACCACAACGGGUGGAGCUUGCGGUUUAAUUGGAGUCAACGCCGGAA
rnacentral:rRNA from 1 species